UACGUAGGGUGCAAGCGUUGUCCGGAAUUAUUGGGCGUAAAGAGCUCGUAGGCGGUUUGUCGCGUCUGCUGUGAAAAUCCAGGGCUUAACCCUGGACCUGCAGUGGGUACGGGCAGACUGGAGUGCGGUAGGGGAGACUGGAAUUCCUGGUGUAGCGGUGAAAUGCGCAGAUAUCAGGAGGAACACCGGUGGCGAAGGCGGGUCUCUGGGCCGAUACUGACGCUGAGGAGCGAAAGCGUGGGGAGCGAACAGG
rnacentral:rRNA from 1 species